rnacentral:rRNA from 1 species
GAUCCUGGCUCAGAAUCAACGCUGGCGGCGUGCCUAACACAUGCAAGUCGAACGAGAAAGGGGAGCAAUCCAUGAGUAAAGUGGCGACCGGGUGAGUAACACGUGACUAACCUACCCUCGAGUGUGGAAUAACAUCGGGAAACCGAUGCUAAUACCGCAUAACAUCUCAAGAUCAAAGGAGCAAUCCGCUUGAGGAGGGGGUCGCGGCUGAUUAGCUAGUUGGCGGGGUAACGGCCCACCAAGGCGAAGAUCGGUAUCCGGCCUGAGAGGGCGCACGGACACACUGGAACUGAAACACGGUCCAGACUCCUACGGGAGGCAGCAG